rnacentral:rRNA from 1 species
GCAUGUUCACAUGAUUAAAGGUAUUCCGGUAGACGAUGGGGAUGCGUUCCAUUAGAUAGUAGGCGGGGUAACGGCCCACCUAGUCUUCGAUGGAUAGGGGUUCUGAGAGGAAGGUCCCCCACAUUGGAACUGAGACACGGUCCAAACUCCUACGGGAGGCAGCAGUGAGGAAUAUUGGUCAAUGGGCGAGAGCCUGAACCAGCCAAGUAGCGUGAAGGAUGACUGCCCUAUGGGUUGUAAACUUCUUUUAUAAAGGAAUAAAGUCGGGUAUGCAUACCUGUUUGCAUGUACUUUAUGAAUAAGGAUCGGCUAACUCCGUGCCAGCAGCCGCGGUAAUACGGAGGAUCCGAGCGUUAUCCGGAUUUAUUGGGUUUAAAGGGAGCGUAGAUGGAUGUUUAAGUCAGUUGUGAAAGUUUGCGGCUUAACCGUAAAAUUGCAGUUGAUACUGGAUAUCUUGAGUGCAGUUGAGGCAGGCGGAAUUCGUGGUGUAGCGGUGAAAUGCUUAGAUAUCACGAAGAACUCCGAUUGCGAAGGCAGCCUGCUAAGCUGCAACUGACAUUGAGGCUCGAAAGUGUGGGUAUCAAACAGGAUUAGAUACCCUGGUAGUCCACACGGUAAACGAUGAAUACUCGCUGUUUGCGAUAUACAGCAAGCGGCC